rnacentral:rRNA from 1 species
GGCCAGACUCCUACGGGAGGCAGCAGUGAGGAAUAUUGGUCAAUGGGCGGGAGCCUGAACCAGCCAAGUCGCGUGAGGGAAGACGGUCCUACGGAUUGUAAACCUCUUUUGCCGGGGAGCAACGGGGUCCUUGCGAGGGCCCAAUGAGAGUACCCGGAGAAAAAGCAUCGGCUAACUCCGUGCCAGCAGCCGCGGUAAUACGGAGGAUGCGAGCGUUAUCCGGAUUUAUUGGGUUUAAAGGGUGCGUAGGGGGGCUGAUAAGUGUGCGGGCAGAUGGCGGGUCCCAACCCCGGCCUGCCGUUGAAACUGGCGGCCUCGAGUGGGCGAGAAGUAUGCGGAAUGCGUAGUGUAGCGGUGAAAUGCAUAGAUAUCACGCAGAACUCCGAUUGCGAAGGCAGCAUACCGG